AAACCGUUGGAAGGGAAGCGAAUAGAGUUAGCAAUUCGCCUUGCCGGAUUCAGCCGCUCCAGCAUCGCGGCGUGCUCGGCUUCGAUCUUUCCAUAGACGAGCCUCGUACGCUCGCGUUGCUUGGGCGGUGCACUUCCGGUUGGCGAAAGUCAACGUCGGUUUGCACGGAGUCAAAAAGCUGCAAGCACGGUAGGUCUCUCGUGAUCGGUAAGGCUUGCGUGCAAAUGGCUUCAUGCAGACCGAGUUCUGUCGCAGCACGUACCUCCCCUCCCGGGCCAGGCUGAUGUCCUUGUCGUUGAGUCGGUUUAAUGUCGCUGGACGGACGGCUUUGCCUGUGCGUCCCGUUGCGGCCGUUCAAACGACSGGGCAAACACACACGACGUGCUGAGGGCGUUGACCGCUCGGCGGCUCUAUCCGACCCGUCUUGAAACACGGACCAAGGAGUCUAACAUGUGCGCAAGUCUCAGAGCGAUCGAAACUCGUUGGGCUUAAUGAAAGUGAAUGCAGUCACGGCUGCAGAGAUGAGAGGCUGCGACUUCACCGUUGUGGCGGCAUCAUCGACCGACCUAUUCUACUCUUAGAAAGGUUUGAGUUAGAGCGCACCUGUCGGGACCCGAAAGAUGGUGAACUAUGCCUGAAUAGGGCGAAGCCAGCGGAAACACUGGUGGAAGCCCGUAGCGAUUCUGACGUGCAAAUCGAUCGUCGAAUUUGGGUAUAGCGGCGAAAGACUAAUCGAACCAUCUAGUAGCUGGUUCCCUCCGAAGUUUCUCACAGGAUAGCUGGGACUC
rnacentral:rRNA from 1 species